CGAGGGAGCCGGGUUAUGCAUUGCCAACCCGUUCCUUCGUGUUUCUUCGACCUUUAUGCGGUUUUUUUUUCUGUGUCGGGAAGAAGCCUGCAGCUUGGUGCACCAUGUUGUCUUCUUUCUAGCGUGGUGUACUUGAAAGACCAAGGGCCCAUGUAAAGCGCGUUCUGCUCGACGCUCCAGCUUAAACUCCAGAGCAAGGCCUGGUCUGAAGGGUCAACAGACACCUUCUGGCGUAGACAGGUCAACUUCAGGCAUAUUUGGUCAGGUGUAUCACUGCAACUUUCACACUGGCAAGCAAGCAUGCCGGUGAAGAAAGCCUGGACAGGAUAUCAGCAACACCUUAUCUAGGUGUCAUUGGCUGCAGCCUUCAAGAAGUCAAGCACGCUUGUGGAAAGGCCGUCUCAAGCGACAAUGCGUGAUUAUGAAAUUUCCAACCGAAAUUUUGUUUUUCAAUGGCCUGAUUGAUAUGUAAACUGUGUUAUAUGCGGAUGGUGAGAGGGACUUUAGGCAGUUCCAACUUCCUCCACUAAUGUAUCACAGGUAGGAUGCACUUAAAAUUUGAGAUUGAGGCUACCUCACACUGCAAAAAUUCAGUGUUUGUUCCAUAUAUAUGAAUGAUUAGGUUCACCAGCCACUUUAGGUCUAAAGACCCAGCGAGAUAGAUUUCUGUUGAAUACGUUCGCCUUUAAAUUGCGCCAUAUAGCGCAUGAAUGGCUUGUCUCUUAACAUUGUGCCUAUCCCAGCAAACUUGAACUACGAUCUUUAUUCCUGUUUCCUUUCCUACUAAGGAUGUCUUUUUUCAAAAAGCACAUGAAAGUUUGUUGCUCCUUAACGUUGUUUCCUUUUUAUUUCUCGAGCAAUAUCUGUUUGCAAAGCUAUUUCUACUGACAGGUGUUGUGUGUUUAUUCAUGGGUAACACCUGGGUCAUUCUAAACAGUGUUCAAUUAUUUCGGUGGCCAUGUCAAAUGUAUUGGGUCAUUUCAUAUCAAGUGCACCCGGUCAAGUUUCUACCAUCUCCGACCAUGUAAAAAAGAGUAUUGUGCAGGUAUAAGUGAAUGCGAGUAGUAGUUUUUGAGCCAUUAUAUUUCGCAGAAUUUUGUGUUGCCUACUAGACGGCACUUUGAAUUUUAGGUGCCCAGGUGAAACUGUGUCACACUAAUUGAUUUAUAUAUUAUUGCUGGUUCGAUCAAUUAUAAUGAUACAGUGUUAUCGUUAUUCUCAAGGUGCUACUCUUUAACGACUCUGAUAGGUUACUCAUUUUAUCUUUAUUUUUGCCUUGGCAAUAAGUUUCCAUAUGCUGCAUGUUUACCAAUUUUUUAUAAAAAGAACAACUUUUUCACAAUACUGUAAUGUGUUCACGUUUUCUGUUUUAUAUGUUCCCCUAAUUCCAGCAUAUAACAAAAACCAUUACAUUUGCUGCACAAAAUUUCUGUCUGGCGUUCUAUAAUUUCAUAAUGCAAUGUCGGUAUCACACAAGUUAGUGCAGUUGACAUAUUUCAGGCAUUUAACUUCUGAAGCCCAAGUAUGUGACUGGCACAGUUUAUGGAGCAUGAAUUUAUUUUGUUAUUCUAUUUUCGUUCCCAUAUACACAGGGCAUAUCAUUCCGACUAAACGCUGUGUUAAAGGCAGAGUCGGCGGAGUAGCUUGAAGGGUGCUCAGCCUUGUAAAAAUAUUUUGAAGAAUAAAUGUGCGAGUAUUCACAAAA
rnacentral:lncRNA from 1 species